UCAACACAAGGCUGACGCGAAUGGUCGCACGUGUGCUUAAACCUUUUUAAAAUAUUUUUUUAUUUAUUUUUUACUUCAUAAUUUUUACUUUUUAUCUUCUUUUUUUGUAAUUUUUGCAAUAUGAAAAUAGUCUUUACAUAAGUAUUUAAAAUAGUUUAUAAAAAUAGUAGUAAUAGUUACGUAAAUAUUUAAUAUAAAAUAAAAUUGAUAUUUACUUGAAACAAU
rnacentral:lncRNA from 1 species